UACGGAGGGUGCCAGCGUUGUUCGGAAUUAUUGGGCGUAAAGCGCGCGCAGGCGGGUCAUUAAGUCUGAUGUGAAAUCCCUCGGCUCAACUGAGGACGUGCAUUGGAUACUGGUAACCUUGAGUCCUGGAGAGGGUGGCGGAAUUCCCAGUGUAGAGGUGAAAUUCGUAGAUAUUGGGAGGAACACCAGCGGCGAAGGCGGCCACCUGGACAGUGACUGACGCUGAGGUGCGAAAGCGUGGGUAGCAAACAGG
rnacentral:misc_RNA from 1 species